AGAGUUUGAUCCUGGCUCAGAUUGAACGCUGGCGGCAGGCCUAACACAUGCAAGUCGAGCGGUAGAGAGAAGCUUGCUUUUCUUGAGAGCGGCGGACGGGUGAGUAAUGCCUAGGAAUCUGCCUGGUAGUGGGGGAUAACGUUCGGAAACGGACGCUAAUACCGCAUACGUCCUACGGGAGAAAGCAGGGGACCUUCGGGCCUUGCGCUAUCAGAUGAGCCUAGGUCGGAUUAGCUAGUUGGUGAGGUAAUGGCUCACCAAGGCGACGAUCCGUAACUGGUCUGAGAGGAUGAUCAGUCACACUGGAACUGAGACACGGUCCAGACUCCUACGGGAGGCAGCAGUGGGGAAUAUUGGACAAUGGGCGAAAGCCUGAUCCAGCCAUGCCGCGUGUGUGAAGAAGGUCUUCGGAUUGUAAAGCACUUUAAGUUGGGAGGAAGGGCAGUAAAUUAAUACUUUGCUGUUUUGACGUUACCGACAGAAUAAGCACCGGCUAACUCUGUGCCAGCAGCCGCGGUAAUACAGAGGGUGCAAGCGUUAAUCGGAAUUACUGGGCGUAAAGCGCGCGUAGGUGGUUUGUUAAGUUGGAUGUGAAAUCCCCGGGCUCAACCUGGGAACUGCAUUCAAAACUGACUGACUAGAGUAUGGUAGAGGGUGGUGGAAUUUCCUGUGUAGCGGUGAAAUGCGUAGAUAUAGGAAGGAACACCAGUGGCGAAGGCGACCACCUGGACUAAUACUGACACUGAGGUGCGAAAGCGUAGGGAGCAAACAGGAUUAGAUACCCUGGUAGUCCACGCCGUAAACGAUGUCAACUAGCCGUUGGAAGCCUUGAGCUUUUAGUGGCGCAGCUAACGCAUUAAGUUGACCGCCUGGGGAGUACGGCCGCAAGGUUAAAACUCAAAUGAAUUGACGGGGGCCCGCACAAGCGGUGGAGCAUGUGGUUUAAUUCGAAGCAACGCGAAGAACCUUACCAGGCCUUGACAUCCAAUGAACUUUCUAGAGAUAGAUUGGUGCCUUCGGGAACAUUGAGACAGGUGCUGCAUGGCUGUCGUCAGCUCGUGUCGUGAGAUGUUGGGUUAAGUCCCGUAACGAGCGCAACCCUUGUCCUUAGUUACCAGCACGUCAUGGUGGGCACUCUAAGGAGACUGCCGGUGACAAACCGGAGGAAGGUGGGGAUGACGUCAAGUCAUCAUGGCCCUUACGGCCUGGGCUACACACGUGCUACAAUGGUCGGUACAGAGGGUUGCCAAGCCGCGAGGUGGAGCUAAUCCCACAAAACCGAUCGUAGUCCGGAUCGCAGUCUGCAACUCGACUGCGUGAAGUCGGAAUCGCUAGUAAUCGCGAAUCAGAAUGUCGCGGUGAAUACGUUCCCGGGCCUUGUACUCACCGCCCGUC
rnacentral:rRNA from 1 species